UGGCCAGACUCCUACGGGAGGCAGCAGUGGGGAAUAUUGGGCAAUGGGCGCAAGCCUGACCCAGCAACGCCGCGUGAAGGAAGAAGGCUUUCGGGUUGUAAACUUCUUUUGACAGGGAAGAGUAGAAGACGGUACCUGUCGAAUAAGCCACGGCUAACUACGUGCCAGCAGCCGCGGUAAUACGGAGGUGGCAAGCGUUAUCCGGAUUUACUGGGUGUAAAGGGCGAGUAGGCGGGAUUGCAAGUCAGAUGUGAAAACUAUGGGCUCAACCGAUAGAGUGCAUUUGAAACUGCAGUUCUUGAGUGAUGGAGAGGCAGGCGGAAUUCCCGGUGUAGCGGUGGAAUGCGUAGAUAUCGGGAGGAACACCAGUGGCGAAGGCGGCCUGCUGGACAUUAACUGACGCUGAGGCGCGAAAGCGUGGGGAGCAAACAGGAUUAGAUACCCCUGUA
rnacentral:rRNA from 1 species